CUUAAAAAGGGCGUUUUGUUGAUGUAACAUGUCGCUUCAGGAACGCUCUGUCCUUGGAAAUGGAUGACAGCCACCAAACACUGGACAAGAAUAGUGGAGGACAAAGUGUUCGAGUGUCCUCUAAAAACUGUCCACACUUGUAACGUCCGAACCCGAUGCCAUACCCGUCUCUCGAAACUCGUUUUCUUCGACCGUUGGUCGAAAGUAACUCUCUUCGAUCAAACGCUCUCGCUCUCACUCUCUCUUGAUCACAGGCUAUACUCUCACGCAGGAUGCCAGUAAUUGCUAAGACUCCACGUCGACUUUCACCUUCUGCUCUCCUCUCGUCCACCUUCUGCCAUAGACAAUGUAUGCAUCUUUUUCUUCGGUGUCAAUCAUUUAUACAUUUUCAUGCCUGUGUAAAUCAUGUAUGCUGUUUACCUGGGUACAGUUGAAGCACACCAAGUGUUUGUAAAAUUAUCCUUAUAAGUGAUUCGUCAUUGCUUACGGAAAAAUAAUGCCAUCCAAUGAGCUAAAAGAUUCUUGUUUAUGGCGAUUAGCGGUAAAUUACUUGUCCUUGAUCGCAUUAAAAGGUUUGGUGUACAAUUAGCUAAUUGUUGCCCAUUAUGUGAGGUUGCUGAGGAAUCCGUUGAUCAAAUGUGUUUUGAGAUGCACAGUAGCAGAGGAGGUUUACGGGAUGGAAGUUUAAUAUCUUCAUCAGAUUUGAACAGUCUGUGAAAGAGUUAUUUUUUAUGGCCUGACGCAUGUGUUUUCCCAUGGUGGUGUACUGGUUUGGUCAUUAUGGAAGACAAAGAAACAAUGUGCUCCAUUACAGUAAGCCAGUGAAGAUCUGUCAUUUUCAAAGGCUUUUAUGGGAAGAUAUUACUCACCUUUCUGCUAAUGCAAAAUGGGGAGCUAAGUACAAACCCAAGAUUCUUUUCUGGCUUUCUCAUUGCAUCAGGCCUGAUCCAUGGCUUUCGUUUAACAGUUAGGAGGUGGUAGUUCAUUCCAUUUGUGUUUGGGAGGGGAAAAGUAGGAGAAUAGCCUACUGGGCGAAGGUGAACAGUCUGAAUGAAGUGUUUGUUGGACUUUGCCGUGUGCAGGAAAAUCAUAAAUGGGAGGCAAGGGAAUUGCUGGUUAGCCUGCUCAGUGACGUAUAGGCUGCCAAUGGGAGAUUCGCCAUUGCUGCAGCUUACAUAAUUUGGAGAAACUCAGCGAUUAUAUAUAGAUUUUGGGCCAUUUAUAUAUGUAGAGAGUGGAGUCAGCUUCCUUUGCUCAUACGUUAUUUUUUCGUGUUUUGUCAGGCGUUUUAUUUUAUUUAUAUGUGGAUUUUAUGUAGUAUCUAUGUUUAGGGAGAAAAAGAAAAACAAAAGAAAAAUAUAAAAAGCA